rnacentral:rRNA from 1 species
CCAAUAGCGUAUAUUAAAGUUGUUGCAGUUAAAAAGCUCGUAGUUGAAUUUCGGGAUUAGUACGUUGGUCGUGCCUUCGGUACGUACUGGUGUUACUGAUUCCUACCUUCUGACGAACCAUCAUGUCAUUAAUUUGGUGUGUCGGGGAAUCAGGACUGUUACUUUGAAAAAAUUAGAGUGUUUAAAGCAGGCUCGCGCUUGAAUACAUUAGCAUGGAAUAAUGAAAUAGGACGUUGACCCUAUUUUGUUGGUUUCUAGGAUUGACGUAAUGAUUAAUAGGGAUAGUUGGGGGCAUUAGUAUUCAAUUGUCAGAGGUGAAAUUCUUGGAUUUAUUGAAGACUAACUACUGCGAAAGCAUUUGCCAAGGAUGUUUUCAUUAAUCAAGAACGAAAGUUAGGGGAUCGAAGACGAUCAGAUACCGUCGUAGUCUUAACCAUAAACUAUGCCGACUAGGGAUCGGAUGAUGUUAUUUUUAAUGACUCAUUCGGCGCCUUACG